rnacentral:rRNA from 1 species
UACGGAGGAUGCAAGCGUUAUCCGGAUUUAUUGGGCGUAAAGCGUCCGCAGGUGGCUAUUCAAGUCUGCUGUCAAAGCUCGGAGCUUAACUCCGAAUCGGCGGUGGAAACUGAACAGCUAGAGUGCAGUAGGGGUAGAGGGAAUUCCCAGUGUAGCGGUGAAAUGCGUAGAUAUCAGGAGGAACACCGGUGGCGAAGGCGGCUACCUGGACAGAAACUGACGCUGAGGCGCGAAAGCUAGGGGAGCAAACAGG